AACGAACGCUGGCGGCAUGCCUAACACAUGCAAGUCGAACGAGACCUUCGGGCCUAGUGGCGCACGGGUGCGUAACGCGUGGGAACCUGCCCUUAGGUUCGGAAUAACUCCCCGAAAGGGGUGCUAAUACCGGAUAAUGUCUUCGGACCAAAGAUUUAUCGCCGUUGGAUGGGCCCGCGUUGGAUUGGCUAGUUGGUAGGGUAAAAGCAUACCAAGGAGACGUUCCAUAGCUGGUCUGAGAGGAUGAUCCGCCACGCUGGGACUAAGGCACGGCCCAGACUCGUACGGAGGGGAGCGGUGGGGAGUAUUGGACGAGGGGGGAAAGUGUGGUACAGCAAUGCGGGGUGAGUGGUGCAGGCCGUAGGGUUGUGAAGCUCUUUUACCCGGGACGAUAGUGACGGUACCGGGUGAAUAAGCUCCGGCUAACUACGUG
rnacentral:rRNA from 1 species